rnacentral:lncRNA from 1 species
CUCGAUCCCCGGGCACGACGACAAAUCCGCCGUAUAUAAAGGAAUUUCUCCUGUAUACGAAGCGAUAGUUGUACUUGUAUAACAUACAAUACUACAAACAGUAGUAUAGAGCUGCUAGAAGAACCAAUAACUAAAAACAAACUGAGUUCCAUAUACAUACAUCAAAUCCAAGCUAUAAAACUACUCGCACUGGCGAGUUAAAUAUCUGUAUGUACAUGAACUCCAACCAAAAACAACUACCUGCUGUAGGGCACCUCUAGCUCGGCUCGUCGGGUAGGGCUCUAACUCGCGACGCCCUUGCCUAGAUC